UACGAAGGGGGCUAGCGUUGCUCGGAAUCACUGGGCGUAAAGGGUGCGUAGGCGGGUCUUUUAAGUCAGGGGUGAAAUCCUGGAGCUCAACUCCAGAACUGCCUUUGAUACUGAAGAUCUUGAGUUCGGGAGAGGUGAGUGGAACUGCGAGUGUAGAGGUGAAAUUCGUAGAUAUUCGCAAGAACACCAGUGGCGAAGGCGGCUCACUGGCCCGGAACUGACGCUGAGGUACGAAAGCGUGGGGAGCAAACAGGG
rnacentral:rRNA from 1 species